rnacentral:ncRNA from 1 species
GAGAGCACACGGCCUUCCUUGAUUUGUAGCUCGAACGAAUGGUCUUAAAUUUGUGGGUCAACAUGCGGCCCAAUAGCUAAUAUGCAAUACUGAGCCAAGCAAUUGGUUGUCAGCAAACAAAUUCCAUUAGAAAAAUUUCUUCUAGGAGUUGUCUAUCAACUGCUUCGCAUCAACUCUGAAUUAUCGAUUGGGACCUCUGCCGGCCAUCUCCAGUUUACCAAGGCGAUGAUCAGUAGCUGGUCCGAGAGGAUGAUCAGCCACACUGGGACUGAGACACGGCCCAGACUCCUACGGGAGGCAGCAGUGGAGAAUUUUCCGCAAUGGGCGGACGCCUGACAGAGCAAUGCCGCGUGGAGGUGGAAGGCCCACGGGUCGUCAACUUCUUUUCUCAAAGAAAAAAUAAUGACGGUAUCUGAGGAAUAAACAUCAGCUGACUCUGUGCUAGCAGCCGUGGUAAGACAGAGGAUGCAAGCGUU